rnacentral:rRNA from 1 species
UACGUAGGGCGCAAGCGUUAUCCGGAAUUAUUGGGCGUAAAGAGCUCGUAGGCGGUUUGUCGCGUCUGCCGUGAAAGUCCGGGGCUCAACUCCGAGCUUGCAUUCGAUACGGGCAGGCUAGAGUUCGGUAGGGGAGACUGGAAUUCCUGGUGUAGCGGUGAAAUGCGUAGAUAUCAGGAGGAACACCGGUGGUGUAAACGGCUUUCUGGACCAUAACUGACGCUGAGGCACGAAAGCGUGGGUAGCAAACAGG